ACAUAUUCUACUCAUCUUUUGCGACUCCGGCCAUACUCCCUGCAACAGAUGUUCCCGAAGGUGUAAAGGAAAAAGGGUAGUUGAACAAGUGGCUCUGAUAUUAAAGCUGAAUUGUGGUAAGCUUUCAUCGCUAAGGUUCUGAUCUUUCCCUAACUCUUACUUAAUGAAAUCAUAAAGGCCUAUGGCUCUUUUGUUCGACUAAAGGUACAAAUGUUUUGAGCUUCCGUUAUAAGAUAGGAGAUGGUUUAAAAUAAUUUUUUAAAUUGUCUAUACUAAAGAAAAAUGUAAAUAUAUGAGUCUUUAAAAAUUACUCC
rnacentral:lncRNA from 1 species